UUUAACGGGGGUUAAAUAAGGAAUAAAAUCUUAGUUUUUUUUAUUUUUUUAUUCGUCUUGGAUACGACAGCAAUUUUUAGCCAUAUUUAACUGCGAAACUGGUUCCUGUGAACUAUGCUCGCUUCUUUCCCAGGACUGCCCCAAAGUGCUGACACUGGAGACUCCUUCCGUAAACAUCCCUGUGAACGGACUACAGAAACGAUAACCAGGAUGCUAAAAUCAAACUGUGAUUUGCAGCUGGAACGACUGUUGUUAAUCGACACCUCCCAACCAAUCGGAACCGAGAAUGAGACAGCGCCGUGAUGUAUCCGAAACAUUUGUCCGAGUAAUAAAAAAAACAGUCUCUGGUUUACGCAGGGGAUUGUUCAGGAAGGAGAACAGCGAGAUACAGUUACAUCAACAAGGCGUAUAUCGUAUCAUAUUCCACCAAGAGGAAAACGUAUACAUAAUCAGUAAAAGCCAAAAUGCAGAACGUUCUUGUGACCAUCAUAUCCUGUGGGCAACGACCGUGGAUCUGUGCCAAAGCUAAACAAAUAUAAAUAUACCAUCUCGCAAACAAACACAAUCUGCUUUGCAAAAGGAAAUCUCGCCUCUCAAAUAAACAAAACGAUUUUCUCACAAAUGCAGCUAAGCAACUUCCUCUUCCAAACCAACAGAUUAAGUAGAGUGCAGUAAAUAGUGUUAAAAAAAUAAAUAAAAAAAAAUUCAUCCUGAAAUAAGGUCUGUGAUUAUUACAAAUACUGCAUAUAGAACCAAAUAAAAUGAAGUUCAUUUUAGAUUCCUGCACAAGAUCUAGCCAUGCAAUGCUCCAUCAGCAAUGCUCCAACAUCAUGAACAAUGCUCCAACAUCAUGAACAAUGCUCCAACAUCAUAACGCUCCAUUAUCGUCAUCAACGCUAAAUAUCAUCAUCAACGCUCCAUCAUCAUCAACACUCCAUCAUCAUCAUCAUAAACAACGCUCCAUCAUCAACGCUCCAUUAUCAUCAACACUCCAUCAUCAUCAACGCUCCAUCAUCAUCAUCAAAGCUCCAUCUUCAUCAACUCUCCAUCAUCAUCGCUCCAUCAUCAACAUCAUCAACGCUCCAUCAUCAUCAUCAACGCUCAAUCAUCAUCAACACUCCAUCAUCAUCAAUCAACGCUCAUCAUCAUCAUCAUCAUCAAACGCUCAAUCAUCAUCAACACUCCAUCAUCAUCAUCAUCAUCAUCAUCAUCAACGCUCCAUCAUCAUCGCUCCAUCAUCAUCAUCAUCAUCAUCAUCAACGCUCCAUCAUCAUCACACUCCAUCAUCAUCAUCAUCAUCAUCAACGCUCCAUCAUCAUCAUCAACGCUCCAUCAUCAUCAUCAACGCUCCAUCAUCAUCAUCAUCAUCAACGCUCCAACAUCAUCAAACGCUCCAUCAUCAUCAUCAUCAUCAACGCUCCAAAAUCAUCAUUAUAAACAACGCUCCAUCAUCAUCAACGCUCCAUCAUCAUCAUAAACAAUGCUCCAUUAUGAUCGCUCCAUCAUCAUCAACGCUCAUACAUCAUAAACAACGCUCCAUCAUCAUCAACGCUCCAUCAUUAUCAACACUCCAUCAUCAUCAUCAUCAUCAUCAUGAACAACGCUCCAUCAUCAUCAACGCUCCAUCAUCAUCAACGCUCCAUCAUCAUCAUCAACGCCCCAUCAUCAUCAUCAUCAAUGCUCCAUCAUCAUCAUCAACGCUAUCAUCAUCAUCAUCAAUGCUCCAUCAUCAUCAUCAACGCUACAUCAUCAUCAUCAUCAACGCUCAUCAUCAUCAUCAUCAUCAUCAACGCUCCCUCAUCAUCAACAAUCCAUCUCAUCAUCAUCAAUGCUCCAUCAUCAUCACGCUCCAUCAUCAACGCCCAUCAUCAUCAUCAACGCCAUCAUCAUAAUCAACGCUCCAUCAUCUCAUCAUCUCAACGCUCCAUCAUCAUCAUCAAUACUCAUCAUCAACGCUCCAACAUCAUCAUCAUACA
ensembl:lncRNA